UUCCCUAUAGUACGGAAUANCCCACGGAAANUUGGAGUAAUACCGUAUACGCCCGAAAGGGGAAAGAAUUUCGCUAUAGGAUGGGCCCGCGUANGAUUAGCUANUUGNNGAGGUAAUGGCUCACCAANGCGACNAUCCUUAGCUGGUUUGAGAGAACGACCAGCCACACUGGGACUGAGACACGGNCCAGACUCCUACGGGAGGCNGCAGUGGGGAAUAUUGGACAAUGGGCGCAAGCCUGAUCCAGCCAUGCCGCGUGAGUGAUGAAGGCCUUAGGGUUGUAAAGCUCUUUUGCCGGGGACGAUAAUGACGGUACCCGGAGAAUAANUCCCGGCUAACUUCGUGCCANCANCCGCGGUAAUACNAANGGGACUANCGUUGUUCGNAAUCACUGGNCGUANAGCGCACGUAGGCGGAUUUGUAAGUCAGGGGUGAAAUCCCGGGGCUCANCCUCGGAACUGCCUUUGAUACUGCGAAUCUUGAGUCCGAUAGAGGUGGGUGGAAUUCCUAGUGUAGAGGUGAAAUUCNUAGAUAUUAGGAAGAACACCGGUGGCGAAGGCGGCCCACUGGAUCGGUACUGACGCUGAGGUGCGAAAGCGUGAGGAGCAAACAGGAUUAGAUACCCUGGUAGUCCACGCCGUAAACGAUGNACGCUAGCCGUCGGAUAGCUUGCUAUUCGGUGGCGCAGCUAACGCAUUAAGCGUCCCGCCUGGGGAGUACGGCCGCAAGGUUAAAACUCAAAGGAAUUGACGGGGGCCCGCACAAGCGGUGGAGCAUGUGGUUUAAUUCGACGCAACGCGAAGAACCUUACCAGCUCUUGACAUUCACUGAUCGCCUGGAGAGAUCCGGGAAUUCCNGCAAUGGACAGUGGGACAGG
rnacentral:rRNA from 1 species